rnacentral:lncRNA from 1 species
GAACGGGAUGCAAGGUUCUGUAAAACUGGCUUAAAACCCGCAGAGGUCGACUCAUGGGUCGACUCAUGCCUUGGGGGUCGACUCAUGGGUCGACUCACAGGAUGUGCCAAGUCUGUGCCGGUCAGAAAUUUCAGCGUGCCAGUCAUCUCAUGUGCCAUGAGUCGACUCAUGGGUCGACUCAUGAUUUUCAAUCAUGCAUAUUUUUCAAAAUACA